rnacentral:rRNA from 1 species
GACGAACGCUGGCGGCGUGCUUAACACAUGCAAGUGGAGCGACGAACCGGACUUCGGUCCGGGGCAAAGCCGCGAACGGGUGAGUAACACGUGGGUAACCCACCUCGAUGACCGGGACAACCCGAGGAAACUCGGGCUAAUACCGGAUGUGCUCCCUCACCGCACGGGGUUGGAGGAAAGAUAGCUUCGGCCUUCGCAUCGAGACGGGCCCGCGGCCCAUUAGCUUGUUGGUGAGGUAACGGCUCACCAAGGCUGCGAUGGGUAGCGGGUCUGAGAGGACGAUCAGCCACACUGGGACUGAGACACGGCCCAGACUCCUACGGGAGGCAGCAGUGGGGAAUCUUGCGCAAUGCGCGAAAGCGUGACGCAGCAACGCCGCGUGGGGGAAGAAGGCCUUCGGGUUGUAAACCCCUUUCAGGAGGGACGAAGCCUUGGCGGUUAAUAGCCGACCGAGGUGACGGUACCUCCAGAAGAAGCCCCGGCUAACUACGUGCCAGCCGCCGCAGUAACAC